rnacentral:rRNA from 1 species
GACGAACGCUGGCGGCGUGCUUAACACAUGCAAGUCGAACGGAAAGGCCCUGCUUUUGUGGGGUGCUCGAGUGGCGAACGGGUGAGUAACACGUGAGUAACCUGCCCUUGACUUUGGGAUAACUUCAGGAAACUGGGGCUAAUACCGGAUAGGAGCUCCUGCUGCAUGGUGGGGGUUGGAAAGUUUCGGCGGUUGGGGAUGGACUCGCGGCUUAUCAGCUUGUUGGUGGGUUAGUGGCUUACCAAGGCUUUGACGGGUAGCCGGCCUGAAAGGGUGACCGGCAACAUUGGGACUGAGAUACGGCCCGAACUCCUACGGGAGGAAGCAGUGGGGAAUAUUGCACAAUGGGCGGAAGCCUGAUGCAGCAACGCCGCGUGCGGGAUGACGGCCUUCGGGUUGUAACCCGCUUUCGCCUGUGACGAAGCGUGAGUGACGGUAAUGGGUAAAGAAGCACAGGCUAACUACGUG